AUGGACAGGGCCAUCAACCGCACCUACGAGGAGUACACCCCCGUCGUCGAGUGGAGCCACUCCGCCGACGCCAGCUUCGUCAAGAUCACCGUCCCAGGGUUCAAGAGGGAGGAGAUCCGGGUGCUGGUGGACAACCACGGGCACCUGCGCACGCGCGGCGAGCGGCCGGUGGAGGGCGGCAGGUGGAGCCGCUUCCAGAAGGACCUGCAGCUCCCCUCCGACUGCAACGUCGACGGCAUCCGCGCCAAGUUCGAGAACGAGGCGCUCACCAUCACGCUCCCCAAGAAGCACCCUUCGCCCCCGCAGCAGGCCGUGCCCGUGCCGCCGGUGAUGCCGGCGCCGGCGCCGGCGACGCCCAAGCCCGAGCCCAGGAGGCCCUACGUGGCGCCGUCCCAGAAGCCGCCGGCGGCGUUCCCCGAGCCCGCGAGGCCGGCCGCCACGGCGCCGCCCCCUGUCGUUCCUUCUCAGAAGCCCUUCGCUGACCGCAGGCCCUCGCUGCCCCGGAAGUCGGCGGACAUUCCCGCGCCGGCAAGGCCGGCACCUCCCGUGCCCGCACCGGCGCCGGAGGAGGAGACCCUGAACAAGCACAACGGAGCCGCGAGGCCCGAGCUGCCCGCCUUCCCGAAGCCGACCGGGGAGUGGGUGAGGGAGGAGGCCAAGAAGCCGCAAGAGGAGGCCAUGGCGAGGAAGCCGCAGGAGGCGGCCGAGGAGGAGGAGAAGCGGAGGAUGGAGAGGGAGGCGAGAGGGAAGAUGGAGGAGGACAGGAAGAUGGCGGAGGAGAGGGAGACGGAGAGGAUGAUGGACAUGGCGCGGCGGAGGAGGCCCGCGCCCGCCAACCGCGGGCUGCUGGUGAACGUGGCGGUGGCGGCGCUGGUGCUCGUCGGGAUCACGGUGUACGUGUGGCGCAACCUGAGCGCCGCUGCCUCCGGCGGCGGGGACGCCGGAGCCGGGAGCUACGGCGACGAGAUGUGA
rnacentral:rRNA from 1 species